AUAAUGGGCUGGUUGUUUUGAGCGGAACCUCUUCUCCGCUGGAAACCUCUGGUCUGGUUGU
rnacentral:miRNA from 1 species